rnacentral:rRNA from 1 species
AGCGAACGCUGGCGGCAGGCCUAAUACAUGCAAGUCGAGCGCGCCCUUCGGGGUGAGCGGCGGACGGGUGAGUAACGCGUGGGAAUAUGCCCUUCUCUAAGGAAUAGCCUCUGGAAACGGAGAGUAAUACCUUAUACGCCCUUUGGGGGAAAGAUUUAUCGGAGAAGGAUUAGCCCGCGUUAGAUUAGGUAGUUGGUGGGGUAAUGGCCUACCAAGCCUACGAUCUAUAGCUGGUUUGAGAGGAUGAUCAGCCACACUGGGACUGAGACACGGCCCAGACUCCUACGGGAGGCAGCAGUAGGGAAUCUUAGACAAUGGGGGCAACCCUGAUCUAGCCAUGCCGCGUGUGUGAUGAAGGCCCUAGGGUCGUAAAGCACUUUCGCCAGAGAUGAUAAUGACAGUAUCUGGUAAAGAAACCCCGGCUAACUCCGUGCCAGCAGCCGCGGUAAUACGGAGGGGGUUAGCGUUGUUCGGAAUUACUGGGCGUAAAGCGCACGUAGGCGGAUUAGUAAGUUAGAGGUGAAAUCCCGGGGCUCAACCCUGGAACUGCCUUUAAUACUGCUAGUCUUGAGUUCGAGAGAGGUAAGUGGAAUUUCUAGUGUAGAGGUGAAAUUCAUA